rnacentral:lncRNA from 1 species
UGUGUGUAAUCUUCAAUCUUUUCCUCGACUACUUUCCCUCUUCUUUUUUUUCUAUUAUUCGUUUAUAUAUUUUGUUGGUAGCUAUCAGGUCAGAGUCAAAUUUGACUGACAGAUUAUAAUACAUACACAAACAAAAAUGUAGAUUCAUACAUUUAUAUCAAUCUUCUACUUGCUUCAGUCACUGGAAUGCGGUCAUGCUGGAGCACUAACUUUAAAGAGUUUAGAUGAACAGAAUUUAGACCGUAAUACUUACACAUAUUUUAAGUCUGAUAUUUAUGGUAAACAAGCGAACACCGGUUGUAAAAUGUUACCCCGAAAAUAAGACCCGGUCUUAUAGUAAUUUUGCAUCUAAAAAUGCACUAGGGCUUAUUUUCAGAGGAUAUUUUAUAUUUUUGAGGAAAAAAGUCAAAGAAAGACAAAAAUGACUUAUGUCCUCAGGUAAAAGGAAAAAAUGUAUAAAGGAAACUCAUGCUUUUGUUAUCAAAAGUUCAUUUAUUUGCUUGCUGUUUUUAGUUGAAUACAAACAUUUCGUCCUCUUCUGGAACAUCGCCAUAAAUCAACAAAUCUCGAACUUCAGACCGAAUUUCUUGCAAAUCCAUUUCUUGUAGAUCAUGGUCCUCCAUCUCUGAUGUUUGGCAAUAUAACUUUCCUCAAAUGAACACUUUUUGUCCAAGUACCCUGCUCGUAGUACACUGGCAACGCAACUGUCGGUAAUUUUAUUCCAUGCAUUCUUCACCCAAUUCAUGACUUCUUGGAGGUCAGUUUUGACAAAGUUUCCACUAUGAUUUCUCUCCAUUCUAUGUUCGAUAUGUUCAUUCACUUCCAUCCGCAAAUAAUCCUUGAGGGGCUUCUUUAUUACAAGAUCUAACGCUUGAAGAUAUGAAGUGAUUCCUGCGGAAAUCAUUAUGUGAUCAAUUCUUCUUUCAGAUAGAAGGUUUGCACAUCUUUUGCACGAUGAGUACUGGCCGAAUCCCAACGUAAAAUAAGUGGUAUAGUUAAAUCAACCCAAUUUAUUAUGACAGCUUGUGUGCAACUAGCCCUUUCCGCUUUAAGGACAUAAAUGCUCGAAACCCAUUGUUUUUUCUUUUUUGCCCUUUGUGAUAAUAAGCGGUGGGACUUUUGUUCCAUCAUGAUGAAUUGUUAAGAUACUAGUAACUCUUACACUUUCGUAACUCUUACCCUUUCGUAGAUUGACAAGGCACCUGUCUGUUCAAUUAUCGAUUUAGAUCCUUGGUCCAUAAAUACUACAGUCUCAUCGAUUGCAAUUAUUUUGGAGAGAUUGUAUUUAGAAAAGUCAAUGCCAUCAACGAAGGACUUGAAUAUAAGUGCACGUUGAAUCACUUCAGCAUCCCCCAGCUUGAACAGUGUUGUCGAUCUUCUUAGAGAGAGUCCAUAUGGCCGAAGAAAGUUAUCCAACCAAGGUGAUGCUUUGUUCUUCUAUCAGCAAUCCAUUCCGAAGUGAUAUCUUCCGAAAAUAACGGUUGUCGUCCUGAUCCACACUUGCACUUCUUAGCACUUCCCUCAUCCACCUGUCUGCUGAGAUUAUCGUACUCUGCUCGCCAUUUUUGAACCAUUCGGAGAUCCAAUAUCUCCCCCUUACAGAAUGCCGUAAGAUUCUUAUGCGACUCUUCCACAAUUUCUUUCUUGUACUCCACGAAAUAACUCUUUCUUUUUGCAUUUAUCUUGCCUGAAGGACAAGGGUGUCAAGCCAAGCGAGUCAACUCCGUGCAUGCGCGCUUAGCGCAGACUUUAGCCAAGCUGUGAUAGUUGGUUUAUUUUGCAAAUGUCACAUGGUCUUGUUAACAAGAUUAUGCAUUUUUAACUAGGUCUUAUUUUCGGGGUAGGGUUUAUAUUAAAAACAUCCUGAAAAAUCGUGGUAGAGCUUAUUUUCCGGGAAAUAUGGUAUAUAUAUAUAUAUAUAUAUAUAUAUGUAUGUAUGUAUGUGUGUGUGUGUGUGUGUGUGUGUGUGUGUGUGUGUGUUUGUGUGUGUGUGUAUAUGUGUAUGUAUGUAUGUAUGUAUGUAUGUAUAUAUAUGUGUGUGCGUGUGUAUGUGGACAGAUAUGUAUGUAAGAUUGCCAUCGUUGUACUGAGCUGUAUGGCUAUGAAAAGAGAAAAAAGAAUUAAUUCUACAUCUCUUAAACUGGACCUGUUACACAUCGAAUUAUAGCAUAAAUUCUGAGUAUUCCACAAAAUUUUGUAGCGUCAAUCUAAUUCUAGUUCUGAAAGAGAAAUCAGAAUGGCAAAACACGUGACACAGUUGCUCACUGGAGUUUCUGACACGAUUGAUCGAUUGGUUCUGUGCAGUUCCGGUCUACUCAAUUUAACUCAAAGGAACUGUACUUACCCAAAGUUUAAGAAAUUUGUUCAAAAUUCGAAAUGCAAAAUCAACGCAGUGAGGCUCGAACCUCAAGCUGAUAUUCUUUUAUUCUUUUAUUUGUUUCCGUCAUUUUGACUGCAGCCAUGCUGGAGCACCGCCUUUAGUCGAGCAAAUCAACCCCAC